AGGUCUACGUCUUGGGGUUGAAAUUUCAUGUGGAAUUUGAUGGUUUUUUGGCGUUGGAAGGCGGAAAACAGGAGCUUGCUUAAGAAGGGAAAAGAACCGGUUGUAAAGCCGGCUCUUCUCUUCGGGGAAUGAGGAACCGAAAUUGAACCGGUUCGUCCGGUUGACGGCUGCACGUUAUUGCCCCCGCCUCCGCGCCUUCGCUCCGUUCUCCUUUGCUCCCCAAUCUCCGCCCGUCGAGUCGCUCAGCUGCUUCCGUGGCGUUCACCUCAGUUGAGCUCGUCGCUUCCGCAGCAAAAGCUCCGUCUCUCGAGUCCGUCGCCCUUGAUCAUCCCCCUUCGCGUCCCUAUUCAUUGUGCAGGCCAUUGACUAGAGGACUCGGAUGUUUCUCUUCAAGAUGCUCAACCGUCAAUUAUAUAAUGAUAUAAAUGGUUGCAUCUACACUGGCAAAGAAGUGUGUUAUCAUCUACAGUGAGCAGUACUCGCUGCUUUCUUUUUUCUACCAAUUGAAUGUGGGUGGAACUUGAUCACAUCAUUGUUAUAAUUUCACGACUUUACUUGUGAUUUGUUCAUAUUUUUGGCAGUAGAGUGCAUGGUCUCUUGACCCUAUUGUCACUCUGACUUUUGUAAAUGUCUUUCAUGCAUAAAAAUCUGACAGGCAAGAACUGGCAAUCAAAGUUUACAAGACUUCAGUGCUCGUGUUCAAGUUGGUGUGAUAGUCUUAAGUUGUUUGCAAGGCCCCUCCACAGGUGUUUGAAAGUGCAGUACUGCAUUUACUACAUUUUUGUGGCUUUAUUCUUUCUAGAUUAAUGAUUAAUAUGAUAGCAGUCACUGCUAGAUUGUGGUGAAUGUUGGCUUAUUUUGUCUGAUACUUUUUGUGUCUUAGGAGCUACUAUUAGUUCUUUUUCUUUAUUAUUUGGCUGAAAGGAGCUAUUCUUAGUUUGCAAUGUGAUUUAUCUUCAAUUCUACAAUGUGUGGUGUUUUGUGGAUUUAGUUUAUGGUAGUUUUCAUUUUUCUUUU